AGCUUUGCUUUGCUAGCCAAGGAUGACUUGCCUACGUCCACCAUUGAGGGUUUUCCAAAUCAGAAGAAUGAGAGCCCCUAUGUGGGUUAUGUUUGGCAAGUGUCCUAGGCUAAUUGAGUGGCUCU
rfam:Citrus clementina cultivar Clemenules unplaced genomic scaffold scaffold_4, whole genome shotgun sequence.